rnacentral:lncRNA from 1 species
AUUCAUUUGAAGACACAAAGCUGGAGCCAGGUCUGUGGAGACUCCUGCAAACCAGCCCCCUGAGACCAGAGCUGGCUCUUCCAUCAGGAGCAAGAGCAGCUCUACCUGAGGUCAGGUGUGGUGUCCUCUGCCACCUUCGAGCAGCCGAGUCGCCAGGUGAAGCUGUGGGUGAAGAUGGUGACUCCACUGAUCAAGAACUUCUUCUGAGGACAGACAGGUGCUGUCUCUAGCAUCACCUCUCAGCACGAUUUUCCCGAGAGUUCACAGAGCUGCGCCCUUCUAGACUCUGGAAGUUGAGUAACAGGACCUGCUCUGCCCACCCAGGAGGGGCCUGCCGCUUCACCAGAGGCACCAGUGGGGUCCCACAGUCACCUGAGGAAUGGCCUUGAUGAAGAUGACAGGCAUGGCCGGGGUCAGCUCUUUCAGCCGCGCUUCAGCGAUGACUCCAGUCUGGGUGUCCCAGCGAGCCCCUGCAGGGACAGUAUGGCUGAGGGUCAGGUGUGCUGCCAGUAAGUGAGGGAGGGGCUGGCAGGAAGGGUGGGGUCCUCACACUCCCCGCCCUCUGCAGAGCUGGGCUCUACCCCAAAAGGCUUCAGGCCAGCUGCCACGGCUGGAAGCAGAGGCCUUCGUAGGUGAUGGCCUGCAUGUUGUAACUACCCCGUCCCGCUGGGCUCAAGGAACAGCUCAGCUAAAGCCCUCGGGUUCCAUCCGUUUAAAUCUGUGGCAUUUUCAGAGCCUCAUCUGUCAGCCUUAAUGUCAGUGGCAGGAAGUCAUAACUCCAGCUAAAAAUUACAGAGUAAAGUUCCCUGAUUCUUAAUGUGUAAUGUCUGCCCUAUGUGUACAUACACAAUAUAAUUAUACAUCUGUGCAUAUAAAUAUUGCCUUUAACCAGACUGCUAUUAUUUCUACUCGCCCUAUUUAAUGGUGUUUUUAUUUCCUGUCUGAAAUCUCAAAAUAAACAAACAUGGAGAGCU